UAGUAACCUAAAAAGAAAUCGUAGUAAGAUAAACUCUGCUGGAAGAUAGAGGGAAGAAAAAAUCUCAUUUCGUCCUGUAAAGCUCAGAAGCGUCUGGCCUCAUGUGUGUCUUGCGUCCACUGAUAUUCCAAGGCAACUGUAGUGUGAUCCACCCAAGCAAUCAUGUAUUUCUGAAACGGAAAAGGUAAACCAGUUUUCUAAUGGAAAAUACAUGCAGUGGAGUCUUCACUUCCUUGAGCCUUCCCAUCCAGGCAGGGGGUAAACUAGCUACAAUAGUAAACUAUUCCGUUCUUAUUCUGACGAUGCUAAUACAGUCUUAAGGCAUGCUUCUACUGUGCAUUGCACUGGUACUUACUGUAAUAACGGAAACAGUCUAGGAACAGUAACAUGACACUCUGCCAAGGCCGGCACACUCAGCUUCCCGGUAGGAUGGAGAGCUCUGACGAUAGAGGUAUCCAGCUGCAGGAGGUGAGCUGGCCCCACUCAGAGCCGCUGUGCACAUGCCCGGCACUGCAUUCCACCGUGAGGACAAACCUGUUCAUUUAGUUUGCUCCAUUAUGCACUUGAGCACCGAAAGUACUGAUUUUAAGACCACUAUUAGUUUAGAUCAGGUCUUAAAAAGAGUUUGAUCCAGGUAAGUCUCUCCCAUCCCAGCUAGUGCACUUCUGUUGCCCAGUACUUCACGUUCCAUUUGAUUGCAAUGGACAGGAGCGCCAGGAAUUGCCAAACAAGCAAAAACAGAUUCAUUUCUGAUUUAACCCUAGUUAGCAACCUGUCUGAUUUUUGUUCAGGUAUGUUUGGAAGAAGAUGGUGCUCAUCCAUACUGUAUGCUGACAGCGCACACAUGCUCACCAGCAAUUUCUGCUGCAUUUCAAGACUGCUGCAUUUAUAAUACAGGAAACGCAGCAACUUGAUAGCUUUUUCUACUGGUUUCCUUCUUUGAAUUCCUAAGCAGGUUUGCACAGUAACCGAGACAGCUUGUCUAGGACUGAAUUUUGCUAUUUGCCAAAAAAACAAGAGUCUUUGUAUAAGCGGCUAAGUUACUGAUUAUUUUUCCUGCUAACCCAGCCUGGCACCCUCCAUUCUAAUUAACCUUUUGAUAAGGAGGUGGAAUUAUAUUUGUUAAAUGACAAGGCAUGUCAUGGGUUGCUAGUUCACACACCUAAAACAGGGAGUCUUGAGGCUUCAGCGAUCAGUGUUCAAGGACUGUAAAAUCCAUUAUUACCUGCACUGCGACGACCUUCGACAGCAGAGCGCUCACCGUUCUGCUGGCUCCGGUCACUCUGAACACCUCUGCCUGGGCGCUCACCGACCUACUUUCUGCAGUCCUCACCCCCCCAGGGCAAUUACAAAACCGUGUGAGCUUCCCUGGCCAGUGAAGGGCCCAGCAGCUCUCUCUUCCUGGACCCCUCCAGCCCUGAACCUGGCGCAGAGCCUUGUGCUUGCAACUGAACCUGGGCCUCAUUGUCUGGCUGCUCUUGGUGCACGCAGGCUCUCCAGCCUUUCCCAGAGAAGAAUACAUGAAUAUAGAUACAAAGAUUAACGUUUGCUCCUCUCCGGUACGUGGUAAUUCAAGCAAGCACCUCAGACCGUGAGGUAAUCUCCAGGUUGCUUGUUUAUUUUUUCCCAACAGCAGAAGACGCAAAAGUCUUGCCAAGUAAAUACCUAACUUCAUUUCUCUGCUUUCAGUUCCUAAGUUUCCCUGAAUUUUCUGUGACCUCAGGUAGAGCUGAUGGGCAGAUCUGGAAUUCCUUGCUUGCCACUUCUUUGUAUCACAGAGUAGUUCUUUCCUUAUGCAGUUAGCAUCUUCUUCAGAUGGCCGGAGCUUCCUUCUACUUCAGCAGGAAACAACUUCACUCAACCCCAUGCUACCACUUAUUAUGCUACUCAACCCCAUGCCCUAUUGUUCUCUUUUCUAUCUUUGACUCUUCGUGUCUCUUUUACCUUUUAUAUAGCACUAAAAACUCAUUUUCUUUUUUGUUCUGUUUCUUAGGAAAUACCCUUGCUUCGUGCCCUUCCAAUGUAUUAUCUCCAUCCCUCAUCUCUCACUCCAAGUCCAAAGAGGAUCGAAAGAAAUGAUUUUAUCCAAGAUGCAGAGAGGUCAGAUUCAGAUUGUCAUAAUCUUUAAGAACCGACACGUUCUUGUACACACAUGCUCGUGCUGCUCCCCCCUCCUCCUCUACUUCAAGAAUUACAAGGCAGAAACAGAGAGAGUCGUAAGAACAGAGACAUUCACAGAAGUCAAACAGGAAUUCCUCAGCUGCUUACAGAUAGCUUUUCAAAUCAUAGUACCAUCGACGGUGGCAAUUUCUUGGUUUGUACCUUCAUUUCCUACGCACCAGUCAUGAAUGUGUACGCUUAUUCACCAAUGAAUUCCCUUUAAUAGUAAGUCCUUGAAAGGACUGCAAGUAAUAGUUUCAAGUGCUGCUACGAAAUAAAGGAGAACACAGAUGAUAAGUCAUUUCUUUUUUGCAUGUCAAAACUCAGAUUGUGCCCUGUAAAUCUUCCUCAGCGGCUGGAUUUUCAACCUUUCAUAGGCUGUAGCAUGAACUUACAAGACAGAUUACAGAAACCUACAACUACAACAGGUAUGAGCCAAGUCUGCUUUGGCUGUACAGUCCUUAGUUUUUGUCAGCAGAAUCUGCAGCUUUCACUCAGGAAGAGUGAUAGAGGGCCGACAGAAACUUGUCUUUUUCCUUUAUUUUUUAAAAUACAAUCCAAAUUCAUGAGUAUCAAGCAAUAACGUUUAUAACUGAAGAUUAUUUUGAAAUUACUAACGUUAUCUUAAUCAUAUAACAUUCAUCUAAAUAUCUUUGUGAUUUCAAAACUGUUUGUUAGAGCAAUUACAUCAUUUUAUCUAUCUUUCCAUAUAUACUUACAGGUCGUCCAUGAAUACUCUCAAAAUAUAGUAGACAUUUCUGAAGACUGAUUUUUUCCAAAGCCAUCUGCCUUUUUGUCAUAUCCUAUUCGAAAAAGUUGUGAUUUAUAAGAUUAUGAGUCAGGAUUUCACGGCAAGGGUACAGAUAAGUAUCUGCUUAAUAAUAAUCUAUUCUCCACAAAUAACAUUAAUACUGAAAUUUUGUUUCUGCCCGCACUGAGGUCAAUGGGGUUUGGCACUGACUUAGCAAGGAACAGGACCCAAAUUUAUAUAUGAAUGCGGUUUUAAAUGGAUCAUAAAUACACAUUAAUGGGACAGUGAAAGAACAACUGCACCCUUAGCUGGAAAGUUUCCAAGAGUACAAAACUAUGGUCUGAUUCAGUAAGGCAGCGACCUUCACGUGUUGCAGGAUCAGAGCCUGUAUUUGAAAAAUUAUUCUGGGCAUACUGGUUAACAGGAACACUGAACAAGCAGAGGUUUUUGUGUUUGACUAUCAAAGCCCUAUUGCACGUACAUGAGGAAUGUUUCAUGGCUUGGGUUUUUGGGAAGGGGAGCUCUGGGCCAAAGAAGAUACCAACACAGGAGUAGAAGGUGUUGGUGCUGAGCUGCCACAGAUAGCAGUGCAGUAUUUUCCCAGAGCAUUUUUGAAAGGUUAUUAGCAUAACACGAUUAGCUGUAGUAACUGGAAACUACAGAAAUACUUUUCUCAUUCCCUCUUACGGAGAAAUCUAUUAAUGGCAGCUCUAAGUUAUUAACCUCUAUUUGACAGGUCAGCUCAUAGACCACUGCAUUCCCCGUUGCAAGUUAAACAUGAUUUGGUUGUUACAAAUGAAAAGAACAAUAAUUCUAGACACAAUACUCAAAAACUUGCAGAAAGCCAGAAAGAGCAUGCCUCAGCUUUUUAUCUAUCCCUCCAAAAAGAGAAACAGCUUUGCCUUGGCCAGUGAGAGGGGAAGAACAGGAAGUUUCAACUAUGCAAACAGUGGACCCACAGACACACAUUUAUACAGUGGCAUGCCAGAUCCGCAGUGAAACGCCUAAAUAUCCAGCCACUGGGAUACCACGGUUAACACACCAUAAAAGCUGAAAAAGGUGCUCUCUCUAAAAUGAGAGAGAGAAAGAGUCUCAUCAGCCAGCAGGACAUCAUUGCUGGAUAACGCGCGUCUGUAGAACUGCUACAGAGAGGGCUGCAGAAAGCGCAGCAGCGGUGGCAGACACGGGCUCCUCCCACGCCGCACCCUCGGCACUCUGCUGGGUUGAACACCCAGCACCACCAUGCAGGCUGGGAGUACGGGGGAUCCUGUGAAGCGGGUUUAAACAACAGAAGCAGUUUAGUUCUGUUCAAAAUCAUCAUAUAAAUCUCUGGUACCACAAAGAGGAAAGCCGAUACUUUGACAAUCAUUUUUCAAUCCUGGUGAUCAACCAACAAAUUCGUAGAUGUUGGCUGUUGAGAGCACACUAUUUAACUGGUAUUUCUCUCCUCUCCUUUCUCCUCCUUUCCCAAGACGACCUGCUCCUGACACUUGCACAUUUUAUCUGGGUCCGAAUAGCAGGGAACACACAGAGCUAAUGUAAUUUUACAGAGCUCAGCCACCACCAUCCAUGAAGUGAUGUGAAGAACAGUGGAGAUUCUGCAGAAAGGCAAUCCCUCCCCUGCCCAAAGUCAAUCACUCUUCUCUUUAUUGCCAACCUCCUGAACUUCGGCAUUCACAUUCUCAAGCUUUUUUUCCUGCAGCCUUGCAGCUAAAAAAGGACUACAUGAGGCGAACUGUUAAACCCGACACCAGCUCCCAUAAACUGGAUGACUGUUGAAUAUCUGAUGCGCAAAAUGGCCCUUGAAGUGAUUCUACUAAAAAUGCAAGUUCUGUGAGGCACGAAUCCUACUGUCAGUUCCUAACAGUCAUUCAGAUACUUCCCGAACCCAGUUUCGCAAGUCACACUGAACACUGCCCUCUGCACCUUUCUUAAUGACACCGAUUCUCUCAUUUGUGCUUCAGUAGGGCUUAAAGGCUUUCCACAGUCGAGGUUCAAGCCCUUGAGGGCAGCAACCGCGCGCGCUCCUGCAUGGAACACUAGUAUCCGUCCCAAAAUCGUGAAAAAAGAUUUAGUUACUAUUUAGUUGAUUAUCAAUCUAGGUCAGAUUCCGGUACAGGAUUUAGAAGUUAUGUACAAAAUAAAAGGGCUCAGUUCAAAAUUACGAUCUACACCGAAGACACGUAUAGCUGAAAUGAAAAGUCUUUGAUCUUUGCUCUAACCAGCGGACAGCUUUGAUUCAUUUCGUAUCAGGGUUGUAAACCUCACUCUCCUCCAAAAGUCCAGAAUGACUCGUGACUAAAAAUCAGUCAUUUUAAUGUUAAAUAACUUAAGGACCUACUAAAAUACCUCAUCUUGAAAUAGAUCAAUUUGACUUCCUCUUAUUCUUUUUCAAGCUUCUGUUCCACUGCCGUUUCGUAUAACUAUCGUGAAACAGGUAAUUCUUUCAGUUCAAGUUUUCUUCACAGGAAUACAAAAAGAGUGCAAAUAAAACGGGCAAAUGAUUCUUUUAAAAGUAUUUAAAAAUAUUAACUUGUGCAAACACUUAACUUACGUUACAGAGGUCUCUGCCAGACUCUUUCAAGACAACAUGGGAAUUGCACAGAAUUAGGAAGCCUUCUUUCAAAAAUCAAGAGAAUUGCAACCAAUCAAAAACUGAACAGGACAAAGAACCACGGCCAAUUUACGCUUAGGAGAUUGUUUUUCUGGGGCAGGAUUUCUUCACUGAUGUCUAUUUUGGUGUCAUCUGAUCUCACUCCGUGCCUAGUAAUUUUUUUUAAAGCGGAAACCAUCAGUUUUCAGGGGUAUCUACAUGGGUUUUGUUAUUUUGUUGUUUGUUUUUUCACAAAGGAGUUCUGGUUGCGAAACAUUUCUUAUCCGUUUCAGGUGCUGAAAAGCUGGUUUACAAAAAGAAAUAAUUUAAAAGGUCAGUCACACAUGGAGAGCCCAAAAUCUCAGCUACAAAGGCACAACAUACUUCUACAGAGUUCUAAU